rfam:Trichobilharzia regenti genome assembly, scaffold: TRE_scaffold0057621
AUCCAGCUGGAGGACGAGUCCCAAAUAGGACGAAAUGCUCGUUAUCCUGGAU